UACGGAGGGAGCUAGCGUUGUUCGGAAUUACUGGGCGUAAAGCGCACGUAGGCGGCUUUGUAAGUUAGAGGUGAAAGCCCGGGGCUCAACUCCGGAACUGCCUUUAAGACUGCAUCGCUUGAAUCCAGGAGAGGUGAGUGGAAUUCCGAGUGUAGAGGUGAAAUUCGUAGAUAUUCGGAAGAACACCAGUGGCGAAGGCGGCUCUCUAGUACGGUACUGACGCUGAGACGCGGAAAAGCG
rnacentral:rRNA from 1 species